UUCCGGUUGAUCCUGCCGGACCCGACUGCUAUCAGAGUGAGAUUAAGCCAUGCGAGUUAACGUAGCAAUACGUGGCGCACGGCUCAGUAACACGUAGUCAACAUGCCCAGAGGACGUGGAUAACCUCGGGAAACUGAGUCUAAACCGCGAUAAGUGAGGAUUUCUGGAAUGGUUCCUGACUAAAAUCUAUAUGGCCUCUGGAUUGGACUGCGGCCGACCAGGCUGUUGGUGAGGUAAUGGCCCACCAAACCUGUAACCGGUACGGGCUCUGAGAGGAGGAGCCCGGAGAUGGGCACUGAGACAAGGGCCCAGGCCCUAUGGGGCGCAGCAGGCGCGAAACCUCUGCAAUAGGCGAAAGCCUGACAGGGUUACUCUGAGUGACUUUCGCUAAGAAAGUCUUUUGGCACCUCUAAAAAGGGUGCAGAAUAAGGGGUGGGCAAGUCUGGUGUCAGCCGCCGCGGUAAUACCAGCACCCCGAGUGGUCGGGACGAUUAUUGGGCCUAAAGCAUCCGUAGCCGGUUCUGCAAGUCCCCCGUUAAAUCCAGCUGCUCAACAGAUGGGCCGCGGAGGAUACUACAGAGCUAGGAGGCAGGAGAGGCAAGCGGUACUCAGUGGGUAGGGGUAAAAUCCGUUGAUCCAUUGAAGACCACCAGUGGCGAAGGCGGCUUGCCAGAAUGCGCUCGACGGUGAGGGAUGAAAGCUGGGGGAGCAAACCGGAUUAGAUACCCGGGUAGUCCCAG
rnacentral:rRNA from 1 species